UGAAACAGCCACAUACAAUUACAGUUUCUAUAUGCUGUAAGCCUCUGCAUGUAACUGCUACUUCUGGAGUCCUACCUAGGGCACGGGCAUCUUCACUGCAAAACAGACAAGAGUAUCACGGAUCUUGCCCUGAGAAAAGCUCGCUGCCUGUUUCUGGAGCUCUGCAGGCAAGACGCUUUCACCCAGAAAAGAAAAUCUUUUGCAGUCAGCAGUGCUGUGUAGCACUACUUCAUCUCUACUACCAAGAUCCUGUUUAGGAUCCUCCAUCCAUAGGCAGAACUCAGUCUCUGUUGUGGUCUUGCCACAUAGCUGGGAUGGACACCCUGACUGUAAAGUGUUCCUGCAGGAAGACGGCUCUUCAGGAGUUACUGGAGACAAACAGGUGAUUUUUCAUGCUCUAGAUAUGACAGAGGGAGGAAAUAGAGUUCCUGGUUCUCACAUUUUAAGAUAAAAGAAAUGAGAAACUCCUGCCAUGAUCAUAGCACAGUCUCAAGAUGUAUUUGGCCUUUUACCCUUUCCUUGGAAGUAAUUUGUCCUGUCACCACUGGAACAGGUCAUUUCAAUACAGGGGUCAUCACCCCUUCCCCUGGAAAUAGCAGUUUUCAAUGUUCCUAGAAGGCAUCAUUUGGGGCUUUCACAAAAACUAACCAGCUGGGUUCUUUCAAGAUCCAGUAGGCAGAUGCCCUGGAGAUUAAAUGUAAUAAAUCUGUCCUUAGGUGUGACUGAAUGCAUCUUCUUGACAGCUUGUGACCUGCUGCUGAAACAACUUCAAAAUACUUUAUUUCCUAAGGGAGGCUCUACUCAUAGUAAUGCACAAUAUUUUCUAGGUUAGGAAGAAAGACUCUGGUUGACAAAAGGAAUCAGUGGCUGCCCGGCCUGCCUUCUCUCCUCAAGCACAAAUUAGGAUAUUAGAGUAUAUACUUGACAGCUGAGAGCAUAUCAGUGAAAAGCUAUUAUCUUCCAUUAAAAGCAAAAAGUCUGCACUGAAUUUUACUUAUUUGUUCUUUCUAUUCCCUGACUGAGGAAAAGAAGCAUCUAAUAAAACAUUCACCCACACUUAAAACUUAAUGCCACACUUCGUGGAAGAUAAACAUUUUCGUU